rnacentral:rRNA from 1 species
ACGAACGCUGGCGGCGUGCUUCACACAUGCAAGUCGAACGGAAAGGCCCUGCUUUUGUGGGGUGCUCGAGUGGCGAACGGGUGAGUAACACGUGAGUAACCUGCCCUUGACUUUGGGAUAACUUCAGGAAACUGGGGCUAAUACCGGUUAGGAGCUCCUGCUGCAUGGUGGGGGUUGGAAAGUUUCGGCGGUUGGGGAUGGACUCGCGGCUUAUCAGCUUGUUGGUGGGGUAGUGGCUUACCAAGGCUUUGACGGGUAGCCGGCCUGAGAGGGUGACCGGCCACAUUGGGACUGAGAUACGGCCCAGACUCCUACGGGAGGCAGCAGUGGGGAAUAUUGCACAAUGGGCGGAAGCCUGAUGCAGCAACGCCGCGUGCGGGAUGACGGCCUUCGGGUUGUAAACCGCUUUCGCCUGUGACGAAGCGUGAGUGACGGUAAUGGGUAAAGAAGCACCGGCUAACUACGUG